AUUGAACGCUGGCGGCAGGCCUAACACAUGCAAGUCGAGCGGAUGAAGGGAGCUUGCUCCUGGAUUCAGCGGCGGACGGGUGAGUAAUGCCUAGGAAUCUGCCUGGUAGUGGGGGAUAACGCCCGGAUACGGGCGCUAAUACCGCAUACGUCCUGAGGGAGAAAGUGGGGGAUCUUCGGACCUCACGCUAUCAGAUGAGCCUAGGUCGGAUUAGCUAGUUGGUGGGGUAAAGGCCUACCAAGGCGACGAUCCGUAACUGGUCUGAGAGGAUGAUCAGUCACACUGGAAGUGAGAAACGGUCCAGACUCCUACGGGAGGCAGCAGUGGGGAAUAUUGGACGAUGGGCGAAAGCCUGAUACAGCCAUGCCGCGUGUGUGAAGAAGGUCUUCGGAUUGUAAAGCACUUUAAGUUGGGAGGAAGGGCAGUAAGUUAAUACCUUGCUGUUUUGACGUUACCAACAGAAUAAGCACCGGCUAACUUCGUG
rnacentral:rRNA from 1 species